GGAGUUAGCCGGUGCUUCUUCUGUGAGUGAUGUCCUUCCUGCCGGCUAUUAACCCGCAGGCCUUCUUCCUCACUGAAAGUGCUUUACAACCCGAAGGCCUUCUUCACACACGCGGCAUGGCUGGAUCAGGGUUGCCCCCAUUGUCCAAUAUUCCCCACUGCUGCCUCCCGUAGGAGUCUGGGCCGUGUCUCAGUCCCAGUGUGGCUGAUCAUCCUCUCAGACCAGCUACGGAUCGUCGCCUUGGUGAGCCGUUACCUCACCAACCAGCUAAUCCGACAUAGGCUCAUCCGAUAGCGCGAGGCCCGAAGGUCCCCCGCUUUCCCCCGUAGGGCGUAUGCGGUAUUAGCCUGGGUUUCCCCAGGUUAUCCCCCACUACCGGGCAGAUUCCUAUGCAUUACUCACCCGUCCGCCGCUCGCCACCAGGGAGCAAGCUCCCCGUGCUGCCGCUCGACUUGCAUGUGUUAGGCCUGCCGCCAGCGUUCAAUCUGACACAGCAUACUNACNCNGNGGCGUGCGAGACGGCGCAG
rnacentral:rRNA from 1 species